rnacentral:rRNA from 6 species
AAACGACUCUCGGCAACGGAUAUCUCGGCUCUCGCAUCGAUGAAGAACGUAGCGAAAUGCGAUACUUGGUGUGAAUUGCAGAAUCCCGUGAACCAUCGAGUCUUUGAACGCAAGUUGCGCCCCAAGCCGUUAGGCCGAGGGCACGUCUGCCUGGGUGUCACGC